AUGGAAAGAGCAAAACUUCACCAAGGACAAACUUGAAAUUCCGCUUUGACAAACUGAGCCACUCCACUGUAAGUACUGUGUACUGGAAUAACCUUUAAUAUUGACUGGGCAUGUUUUGAAAUCGGUUUCAACCAGUUGUUUUACAGUAAAUCAGAUUAUCAACAAUGGCAAUGUUGGAAUGAUGUAAGUGUGUGUGUUACUAUUGUUUUUAAAGUGCAAAUGCAUUUGUUAUCAUAUGUCUGUAACAGUGCAUUUGAUUUAAUUUGUAAACUGAAUAAUGAGAUUGGAAUUAAUUCACUAAGAAUAAUCAUUCCCCUUUCUUUCAGGGUCAUUAGGUCAGACAGAAGCCACUGCAUGGACAAAAGGCAGUGACUUUGAAUGGAUUUUUAUAGAUUGGAAGAAAAAGGGACCAUUCUCUCUUGCUAAUGCAACAGUUAUCAUCACUCUUCAACAUAAUACACAACUGAACACUAUUGUAAGAACUGAUCCUACAAGCACACGAAAAUGGUUCAGAGGACAGAAAUGAACACCAUUCUUAGUAGAAAAAGCAACAAAUGUCUCUGUUAUUCCAACAUUUUAAAUGUAGUGCUUAAACAAGUGUUGAAUACUAUCCUUGCUUUCUAGACAUGCUCAAUAUUAACACAGCCACUUGAAAUACUUGAAGAGUCCUCAGUCAUUAAAUGUUAGGUGCUAAAUUAAUUACAUUUAAAAAAAAGAAAUUACAAGGGAUUUUCAUCUGUGUUGUUACUAUUAACUAAAACUAAAACUAUUACAAAAUAGUUUUUGUUAAUUGAAAUAAAGCUAAAAUAAAAUAUGAAUAAAAAAUGAUAAAUAAUAAUGAAUAUUAAAUGAAACGCAUAAACUUGCAAAUUAAGAAAUGUUGUGGUAAGUAAUUGAAACAAGUUUGAGUACUAAAAUGACUAAAACAAAAAAUAAAUUAUAUAUAUAGGCCUAUGUUGUUGUUGUUUUUUUAGAAAUAUUUAUUAAAAAUAAAAAUAAAUGAAAGCUAAAUAGAAAUAUUAAAAACUAAUAAAAUGACAAAAGCUCAUAACAAAAUUACUAAACAAAAAUGAUUUAAAAUGAAAUUUUAAAUAUAAAUAUAUCUGUUUUUAUAUUUAAGUCAGAAAUAGUGCCUA
rnacentral:lncRNA from 1 species